rnacentral:lncRNA from 1 species
GGGCAGACACACUGAAGUCGCUAGACAUUUGAGGAACACAUCCGGGGAAGAAGACACAGGUGGCUGGUCAUGGAGAGCCCGCUGGGGGAAGAGCACACAGACAGGCACCGGCAGGCCAUUGACCAGCGGGACAAGGUGGGCUCAAUGUCAUCACAAGGGUGCUUAAGAGGGAAAGAGGAAGCCAUGAGGGUCAGAGUCAAAGGAAGACUUGAAGAUACUACACUGCGGACUUUAAAGAUGAAGGAAGGGGCGAAAACCAAGAAUGUGGGAAGCCUCUAGAAGCUAGAGAAGGCAAGGAAACAAAUUUUCCACUAGAGCCUCCAGAAGGAACACAGCCCUGCUGACCCACUGUAAUGUCUGACCUCUAGAUGUGUAAGGGUAGUAAGACUGAAAGUCUCAGAAAGGCACUGUUAAAUUCUUAUUCCUCAACUAUGCAACUCAAAACUGGGGUCCUCAGCAGUGAGCGAGGGGUGAGAGAAGACACUGUAUAAACAUGGCACAUCCUCCUGGAAAGUCAACUUUACUCAAAGGUUCUUACACACAGUGACAGCUAGCAGAGUCUAAAAUGCUGACAUUAUGACUUAGAGAUGUGAUAAAGAGAAACAUCUAUUGCAUUUUCUGUCUGGUUCCAGUGUCGUCUAUGGUGUGAUUCAUCUCCCAAUACCCCUGGGUGCAAUAAAACUGGUCCCUUCUUUGUACCCCGUAGCUCUUUGUUCCUCUCCUCGUAUGUGAUGGCUGUUUGAGCAUCUUUUCACCCCUCCACACCAGGAACUCCUCAGUGAGUUCUUGAGAUCUAUGCCCUAUUCACCUUUCCAGAAAAUUUGAUUCCUGUCUUCAAGGAGUUUCCAGUCUGGGCAAGGAAGCAGACAUAUAAACAUGGAAUUACGUUGCAAUUUGGAAAGUGAUGUAAAACAAUUAUCUAAAUUAGUGUACACAGAUGAGCACUAAUUUACUAAAGAAUCUUGCUUUUCUCAUAUAACAACUGAGCAGUCGGCAUGUAGGUGUAGUCUGUUUCUUAAAAUAGCAAUGUUUUCCCAGUCUUCAUAUCAAUAUUUAUGUUGUUACUCAUGCUCUGUUAAAACAAAACAAAAUAAAACAAAAUCUCUCAAAUGA